GCCAUAUCAAGCUGAAACACAAAUUUCCAUACAAUCACUGAAGUUAAGAAACAUUGACCCUGGUCAGUACCUAGAUUGGUGACUGCUUGGGAAUACCAGGUGCUGUAAG